rnacentral:rRNA from 1 species
ACCUCGAUGUCGGCUCAUCACAUCCUGGGGCUGAAGUAGGUCCCAAGGGUAUGGCUGUUCGCCAUUUAAAGUGGUACGCGAGCUGGGUUUAGAACGUCGUGAGACAGUUCGGUCCCUAUCUGCCGUGGGCGCUGGAGAACUGAGGGGGGCUGCUCCUAGUACGAGAGGACCGGAGUGGACGCAUCACUGGUGUUCGGGUUGUCAUGCCAAUGGCACUGCCCGGUAGCUAAAUGCGGAAGAGAUAAGUGCUGAAAGCAUCUAAGCACGAAACUUGCCCCGAGAUGAGUUCUCCCUGACCCUUUAAGGUCCUGAAGGAACGUUGAAGACGACGACGUUGAUAGGCCGGGUGUGUAAGCGCAGCGAUGCGUUGAGCUAACCGGUACUAAUGAACCGUGAGGCUUAACCUU